rnacentral:rRNA from 1 species
GACGAACGCUGGCGGCAGGCCUAACACAUGCAAGUCGAGCGGCAGCGGAAAGUAGCUUGCUACUUUGCCGGCGAGCGGCGGACGGGUGAGUAAUGUCUGGGAAACUGCCUGAUGGAGGGGGAUAACUACUGGAAACGGUAGCUAAUACCGCAUAACGUCGCAAGACCAAAGAGGGGGACCUUCGGGCCUCUUCCCAUCAGAUGUGCCCAGAUGGGAUUAGCUAGUAGGUGGGGUAACGGCUCACCUAGGCGACGAUCCCUAGCUGGUCUGAGAGGAUGACCAGCCACACUGGAACUGAGACAAGGUCCAAACUCCUAGGGGAGGCAGCAGUUGGGAAUAUUGCACAAUGGGCGCAAGCCUGAUGCAGCCAUGCCGCGUGUAUGAAGAAGGCCUUCGGGUUGUAAAGUACUUUCAGCGGGGAGGAAGGUGUUGAGGUUAAUAACCUCAGCAAUUGACGUUACCCGCAGAAGAAGCACCGGCUAACUCCGUGCCAGCAGCCGCCGUAA